CAUAGUUAUUCAUGUCGUAAUUGAAGCUCUUCAAGGCUACACAUAUUCAGGGAAAGAAGUAACAAAACAAUAGCAGAUAAAAGAGAUUGCAUAACCUAAUAAAUCAGCACCUUAAGUAAAGUUUGUAUCCUAUAUUUUUUACAUUGUACAUAAAGAAAUCAAAGAGAAUAACAACAAUAGAUUAAAUAUACACACUUCCCUCGAAUGGUGUUAGAUUUAUUGUUUGAAACAUCUAUAAUACGAGAUGUGUUCAAGUGUAGCAAAACCAAGCUCCUGAGUCCUCUAUUAUAUCCACUUCCUAAUGAUCAUUAAAGUGUAUAUAAAGCGAACAUGAAGUAGAUCAGCUCCAGAUCAUAGAUAUUUGGAAAGGAAUAAACAAGUUAUUCUAUUAGUAUGCUGUUAUUUUGGUGGAAAACAUCUGAAAUUGCAGUUCCAAUUGUAGUUUGAUUUCUAUUUUUUUUUUUUAUUUAUCAAAUUGCGAUUUGCGAAUUUAAUAGCAGACAAAAUUGAAGCAAAGCGAAAAAUUAUUCACCUAUUGUAAUCUGAGUUUCUAAAGCACGUCAGGGCGGCGGGCGGCGGAGCGGGUCAGGGCGACCUUACAGACAGCGGCGGCGGGCGGCGGGCGGCGGAGCGGGGUCAGGACAGCCUCACAAACAGCGGCGAGGGGCGACGGAGAAGGCACAGAGCGACCUCUCAGACAGUGGGCUUGUGGUCGGCGGUAGUGGCAGCGACAGCGGAAAGCGGGCUUGUGGCUUGCGGGAGCUUGACGCAAUCGGCGGAGGAAGAAAUAAUGUAGUAGUAUGAUUUUAAGCAGACAGGUUAAGGAGAGAGACGACUUUAUUU
rnacentral:lncRNA from 1 species